rnacentral:rRNA from 1 species
GACGAACGCUGGCGGCGUGCUUAACACAUGCAAGUCGAACGGCAAAGCGCCUUCCGUUUUGGUGGGUGUGGAGGAGUGGCGAACGGGUGAGUAACACGAUAGUAACCUGCCCUCUUGUUCUGGAUAACCGCAGGAAAGUGUGGCUAAUACCGGAUACUCUGGGUCUGUGGCAUGAUGGGUCUGGGAAAGAUUUUGCUUCGGUGGGGGAUGGGCUCGCGGCCUAUCAGUUUGUUGGUGUGGGGAUGGCCUACCAAGGCGGUGUCGAGUAGCCGGCCUGAGAGGGUGGACCGCCCCGGAGGUGAUGCAACGCGGCCAAUCCUACGAGAGGCAGCAGCGGUGAGGAUUAUAGAACAAUGGGAAGCCGGCUGCUGCAGCGCCGCGUCGGGAGGGAUGGCGUCCGUCUUGUAAUGACCUUCUUUCGCCAGUGAAGCGGGCCUGCCUAGUAUCUGGGUGGGUUGACGGUACCUAGAUAAUAAGCGCCGGCUAACUACGUG